ensembl:rRNA 5S_rRNA 5S ribosomal RNA
CUCUACGGCCAUACUACCCUGAAUGCUCCCAACCUCAUCUGAUCUUGGAAGCUAAGCCGGGUCAGGCCUGGCUGGUAGUUGGAUGGG